rnacentral:piRNA from 1 species
UGCCAAUGACUGAUCUCAACCAUACCUCUA